rnacentral:rRNA from 1 species
UACGAAGGGGGCUAGCGUUGUUCGGAAUUACUGGGCGUAAAGCGGGUGUAGGUGGUUUUCCAAGUUGGAUGUGAAAGCCUUGAGCUCAACUCAAGAAAUGCAUUCAGGACUGGAAGACUAGAGGACCGGAGAGGAUAGUGGAAUUCCCAGUGUAGUGGUGAAAUACGUAGAGAUUGGGAAGAACACCAGUGGCGAAGGCGGCUAUCUGGACGGUUUCUGACACUAAGACUCGAAAGCGUGGGGAGCAAACAGG